CAGGUGUGGUGGCAGGCGUCUGUAUUCCCCGGUACUCAGGAAGCUGAAGCAAGAGAAUUGCUUGAACCCAGGAGGCAGAGGUUGCACUGAGCCAAGAUCACACCAUUGCACUCCAGCCUGGGCAACAGAGUGAGACUCAGUCUCAGUAACAAAAUCUAGGCUGGGCGUGGUAGCUCACGCCUGUAAUCCCAGCACUUUGGGAGGCUGAGGUGGGCGGAUCACCUAAGGUCAGGAGUUCCGGAGCAGCCUGGGCAACAUGGUGAAACCCCGUCUCUACUAAAAAUGCAAAAAUUAGCUGGGUGUGGUGGCAUGCGCCUGUAGUCCCAGCUACUAGGGAGGCUGAGGCAGGAGCAUCACUUGAACCCGGGAGGUGGAGGUUGCAGUGAGCCGAGAUCACACCACUGUACUCCAGCCUGGCUACAGAGCCAGACUCCGUCUCAAAAAAGAAAAAAAAAAAAAAGAAAAUCUAUUGACAAGAUUGACAAGAGUUCAUUUUAAAGAUGAUUCUCCACACUUGGAGCAUGGGAUCUUGCCUGUCAGCAAUUUUGAUCAGUCUCCAGAUUAGUAACUGCGACUUGCCACCCUGGUUGAUGGGCUGGCAGGAAGGAGUGUGUCAUAUCAGAGAUUGCCACAGACACCCAGGGCAAUGUGAUUUGUCACUUAACGAGGGAGGCAGAUCAAGAGCAUCUCAUCCUCCGGCUGCUGAGUCAUCCUGCUCUGGCAGUUAUUUAAACAGAAGCCUCCAGGAGACAUACAAUCAACACUCCACUCAGACAAUGCCCAGACCUCCAGAAACCAUGUGUCAAGCUCGGAUUGCCUUAGACAGAAGCUCACCCAGCUGGAACUCUUAUGGGACCUUGGCACCAGAGACCACAAAUUCCUCUUUGAAGUUUUCUAACAGCAACAAUGGUAUUUCUGACUUGGCUUUCUUGUAUUUCUCUCACGUUAACAAAAUCGGUUCAGCAUCUACCAUGGGCUACAUGCUGAGCUACAGGUAA
rnacentral:lncRNA from 1 species